GAUGAACGCUGGCGGCGUGCCUAAUACAUGCCAGUCGAGCGAACAGACGAGGAGCUUGCUCCUCUGACGUUAGCGGCGGACGGGUGAGUAACACGUGGAUAACCUACCUAUAAGACUGGGAUAACUUCGGGAAACCGGAGCUAAUACCGGAUAAUAUAUUGAACCGCAUGGUUCAAUAGUGAAAGACGGUUUUGCUGUCACUUAUAGAUGGAUCCGCGCCGCAUUAGCUAGUUGGUAAGGUAACGGCUUACCAAGGCAACGAUGCGUAGCCGACCUGAGAGGGUGAUCGGCGACACUGGAACUGAGACACGGUCCAGACUCCUACGGGAGGCAGCAGUAGGGAAUCUUCCGCAAUGGGCGAAAGCCUGACGGAGCAACGCCGCGUGAGUGAUGAAGGUCUUCGGAUCGUAAAACUCUGUUAUUAGGGAAGAACAAAUGUGUAAGUAACUAUGCACGUCUUGACGGUACCUAAUCAGAAAGCCACGGCUAACUACGUG
rnacentral:rRNA from 1 species